GAUGAACGCUGGCGGCGUGCCUAACACAUGCAAGUCGAGCGGGAAGUAAAGAAAUGAAGCUUCGGUAGAUUUUCAUUAUGGAAAGCGGCGGACGGGUGAGUAACGCGUAGGCAACCUGCCCUGUACAGGGGGAUAGCCACCCGAAAAGGUGAUUAAUACCCCAUGAUGCAAGAGAUACACAUGUAUCACUUGUCAAAGAUUUAUCGGUAUGGGAUGGGCCUGCGUCUGAUUAGCUAGUUGGUAGGGUAACGGCUUACCAAGGCAACGAUCAGUAGCCGACCUGAGAGGGUGAUCGGCCACAUUGGAACUGAGACACGGUCCAAACUCCUACGGGAGGCAGCAGUGGGGAAUAUUGCACAAUGGGCGAAAGCCUGAUGCAGCAACGCCGCGUGAAGGAAGAAGGCCUUCGGGUUGUAAACUUCUGUCCUAGGGGAUGAAACAAAUGACAUACCCUGAGGAGCCCCG
rnacentral:rRNA from 1 species